GGGAGGAAACCGCGCUUUGUUCUUGAGGUGUUCACGGAUAAUGAAGCUGAUGUGAGAGCCCUGGAGAGAAACAUCAGUCAAAGGCAUGCAGGUUGUGAAUACAAACCUCACUUGUUUCCAGACAGAUUCUUCAUCAUAAUGAUUAGGACAAUGACAGUACAAACAUUCUCAUCCUACAAAAAUAAGUAAUCACAACCACACCUUAUCCAAUAUCUGUACAGCAAUUGUGCCAUACACAUUAAAUUCAGAUUUUUAUAAUGUAAUUUAAUCUGUAUUUCAAGCCACAAUCUUGCUGAAGUUCAUAAUGUUUUGUUCCAACCAUUCUUGUAAUCCCCUCUGGUGACAUGCCAUGGUGCC
rnacentral:lncRNA from 1 species